rnacentral:ncRNA from 1 species
CUAAAAGUCUGGUCCUAGCUUUGACAUCAACUUUAAUUAAUUUUACACAUGCAAGCCUCCACCAACCAGUGAAAAAACCCUUAGCACACUAGGGAAUGGUAUCAGGCACACGUCUUAGCCUAUAACACCCGGCCAAGCCACACCCCCAAGGGUACUCAGCAGUGAAUAAUAUUGAUUAUAAGUUAAACUUGACUCAGAUAUAUUUAUUAGAGUUGGUAAAUCUUGUGCCAGCCACCGCGGUUAUACAAGAAACUCAAGUUGAUGUUAUACGGCGUAAAGAGUGAUAAAGAAUAAUAAUUAACUAAGACAAAAGCUAUGCUUCACUGUUAUACGUACUAGUAAAGCACAACCUCAACAACGAAAGUGAUCUUAUACAAUCUUAUUCACGACUAUUAAGACACAAACUGGGAUUAGAAACCCCACUAUGCUUGAUCACAAAAUUUGAUAUUUACAUUUAAACCGCCAGAGUAUUACGAGCACAGCUUAAAACUCAAAGGACUUGGCGGUGCCCCACCCAGCCAGAGGAGCCUGUUCUAUAAUCGAUAAUCCACGCUAAACCUCACCACUUUUUGUUAUUACAGUUUAUAUACCACCGUCAUCAAUUAACCUUGUGAAAGAAAUUUAGUUGAUAAAAUUAAUAAUACUAAAUACGUCAGGUCAAGGUGUAGCAUAUAAAGUGGAAAGAAAUGGGCUACAUUUUCUUAAAAAGAAAAUACGAAUUAAUGUUAUGAAAAUACAUUUGAAGGCGGAUUUGGAAGUAAAAAGAAACAAGAAUAUUCUUUUUAAUUAGGACAUGAGGCGCGCACACACCGCCCGUCACCCUCAUCAUUAAAAAAAUAUAUUUAUAUAAAAAAAUAAAUACUUCUUAGACGAGGAAAGUCGUAACAUGGUAAGCGUACUGGAAAGUGCUCUUGGUAUAAU